GACGAACGCUGGCGGCGUGCUUAACACAUGCAAGUCGAACCGAAAGGCCCUGCUUUUGUGGGGUGCUCGAGUGGCGAACGGGUGAGUAACACGUGAGUAACCUGCCCUUGACUUUGGGAUAACUUCAGGAAACUGGGGCUAAUACCGGAUAGGAGCUCCUGCUGCAUGGUGGGGGUUGGAAAGUUUCGGCGGUUGGGGAUGGACUCGCGGCUUAUCAGCUUGUUGGUGGGGUAGUGGCUUACCAAGGCUUUGACGGGUAGCCGGCCCGAGAGGGUGACCGGCCACAUUGGGACUGAGAUACGGCCCAGACUCCUACGGGAGGCAGCAGUGGGGAAUAUUGCACAAUGGGCGGAAGCCUGAUGCAGCAACGCCGCGUGCGGGAUGACGGCCUUCGGGUUGUAAACCGCUUUCGCCUGUGACGAAGCGUGAGUGACGGUAAUGGGUAAAGAAGCACCGGCUAACUACGUG
rnacentral:rRNA from 1 species